CAGGCUCGGGUACAGAGCUCCCAGCUGCGCCUCCCUGCAGCCGGGUCUGGGAGCCUGGCUCUGAACCCCAGGCUCACGCAGGGAGGUUUAAGUGGCCUGUGGUCAGGCAUGGCCGGAAAAUAAUAAUGGGAAAUUCCAGAAACCAACAAUCCCUCAGUUUGGAAUUGAAGGCCGUUCUGAGUCUAGUGAUGAAAUCUAAGCCACCUGCUCCAUCCUGCCUGGGACAUGAACUGUCCCUUUGUCCAGUGGAUCCACACCAUCAACACUACCCGCUGGUCAUCAGCGGCCACCAGAGCGGUCGACCCGGUCCACAGCUGCUUGCGUUCAGCUCACCCUUGUUUUACUUCACAUCGGCUUCAGGGUACAAGAGCUGAGCUUGUGGCCCAGGAGUGUGUAGAGAGAAGCUGGAAAUGCUUCCAUCCAGUGAGACAGUGAAGAUCCAGGAGAUAUUCUGAGAGAGAGAAGGAGCACGUUCACAUUAUUACAGUAUGUUGCUAGGAGAACCCUGACUAACAUAAUAAUAAGAAAGGAAAAACAUCAGCUGGUGAAGCAAGGACAUCCCUUUGGUU